UUCAAUAUGGACGUCGAAGGACGAAAUGCGUAGACUUCGAGCCCAGAACUUCUUUCUGACCUUUCUGCGAUCGAGAAGAAAAUUCUGCGUGCUGAACAGCUCGGUAGGCUUUCGAAACGUCGCCGAUGCCGCGAAUGCGAGACGAAGUUAGAGCUCUACGAACAUCAGUCACAGAUGAAGCAAACAGCAUGAGUCGCCUGUCUUCAGUGCGCACUUGCUGUUCAUGGUGCCGGUGUGGCUGGUGUGUCAUAAUGCCGAAGGAGAUCGAAUGCUUGUGCUGCAAGGAGCUUGAAAACACUGCCGAAUGACUGCAGUAUGAGUGCAUUAGAACCCACAAAGAUUUCCAACUUCUAUUCUUCAAUAUGACUGUCCUGAAGGUCGCAUAGUGAACUCCGUGGGCAGCGCGAACCUAUGAGCGACGAUAUUCACAAACAAUGCAGAUACACUGCGUACCGCCAGUUUGCAAGGUGAGUAUGGCACAAGCUUGGGAAAAACAAGAUCAUGGUCAUCCCAGCCUGUGCAGUGAAGAGGGUCUGGCAAGCCUUUCCCACAGAAAAUGCCACAGGCUUCAAGUACCCAAGAUCCUAACUGGGGGUACCUCUUCGCGCAGCUCGUCUACCAUUAAUAAUUCAGAUAAAUAAUUCAGCAUCUGUAUUUAGGAUGAUCUAUAGCUCUCAGGAUGAUGCAUGGUUCAUGAGUUCAAUAUCUUGUGUUGAAACACAACACUAGUCCUUUUUAAUGAGUCUUGUGGAACGAUAGAUGAGCACUCCUUUCGUGACAUUGUGUUUCAUUGCUACAGUGAACAAUUUCUUGAGCAAGACUGAUGAACAAACGAAAAAUAGAGUCUUGUCUUCCAAAUAUGUAUGUUCCUUGUAACUUCCGUAUUUGUUAAGUGACCCAUGUUGAUGUCCCCCCUCAUGUAAUGCCUGCGAUGGCCUUUGAGAUAUAUUCAUAAAUAA